GAGGCCUUAGCUUAAUUAAAGUGUUUGAGUUGCGUUCAUAGGAUAUAAGGUAAAAUCUUAUAGGUCUUG
rnacentral:tRNA from 1 species